rnacentral:rRNA from 1 species
GUAGGUGGUUGUAUAAGUGAAUAGUGAAAUCUGGCGGCUCAACCGUACAGGCUAUUAUUCAAACUGUAUAACUCGAGAAUGGUAGAGGUAACUGGAAUUUCUAGUGUAGGAGUGAAAUCCGUAGAUAUUAGAAGGAACACCAAUGGCGUAGGCAGGUUACUGGACCAUUUCUGACACUGAGGCACGAAAGCGUGGGGAGCGAACCGGAUUAGAUACCCGGGUAGUCCACGCCGUAAACGAUGGAUACUAGCUGUUGGAGGUAUCGACCCCUUCAGUAGCGAAGCUAACGCGUUAAGUAUCCCGCCUGUGGAGUACGGUCGCAAGACUAAAACAUAAAGGAAUUGACGGGGACCCGCACAAGCGGUGGAUCAUGUUCUUUAAUUCGAUGAUAACCGAAGAACCUUACCAGGGUUUGACAUCCUUGGAAUUUUGCCGAAAGGCGAGAGUGCUUUAUUGAGCCAAGUGACAGGUGAUGCAUGGCCGUCGUCAGCUCGUGUCGUGAGAUGUUUGGUUAAGUCCAUCAACGAGCGCAACCCUUGUGAAUAGUUGUAUUUUUCUAUUCAGACUGCCCCGGUAACGGGGAGGAAGGAGGGGAUGAUGUCAGGUCAGUAUUUCCCUUACACCCUGGGCUAGAAACGUGAUACAAUGGCCGGUACAAUGCGCAGCGAAGCCGCGAGGUGGAGCAAAUCGCAUCAAAGCCGGUCCCAGUUCGGAUUGUAGGCUGAAACUCGCCUGCAUGAAGUCGGAAUCGCUAGUAAUCGCAGAUCAGCAUGCUGCGGUGAAUACGUUCCCGGGUCUUGUACACACCGCCCGUCAAACCAUGAAAGUGACCAACACCCGAAGUCCGAUUCGUCGGCCUAAGGUGGGGGGCAUGAUUGGGGUU